CUUAACACUAAUUGCCUAGUGGAGAAGGCUUGCUCCUUAAGGUCUAACACCCAGACCUAGUACUAAUUUGGAAAAAAUUCACUUAAAUCCUCCCUUUCCCUCCUCAAACUAGAACUUGGCUGUUCCACUCUGACUCCUCUCUGGGGCUUCCCAAUUGAAUCUACCAUCUAACUGCUGAAGAAGGAAGAAAAGCUCACCCCAGAGUUUCCCACUGGUUUAGCACUAAGAGAUUGCAGCUUUCUGAAGAGAAACACAGUGAACGUUUGAGAGGGAUUGCCUGAAUUGCUAAGUAGAAGUAGAGCACUGGACUUCCUAGGCAAGAAGAAGGUCAACUGUGAGUUUUCAGAAAAACAGGAGGCAGCAAGGAGCAAAGAGAACAACCUUAUUUCUUCUCCGUUACCUACCAGGAAACUACACUGCUGCCAUCUACUGACCUCAAAGUCUAAAGAGAGUGGAGUAGAAGAGGAUUACGGCUAGAGGAUUUGCCAGCCAUCUGAUUUAGCAGCACAAUACACUUUUGCCAGGACUUACAAAACUUCCUUCAGAACUCCUGGUGUCAGCUUAUUAAAGUAGAACUGGUCGUGGAUGUUUCACUUCAUGUUGGAGGGAGAAGGAAUGCACCUUUAGAAGACGGAAAGACAUAAAGGACUUUCAUCACUAAAGAUAUUUUGAGAAUGGAUCCAAACAUAAGCCUCACAGUGCACAAAGAAAUGCAUAAAUGAACAUAAAUGAAAUCGUAUGAUUUUUUUCUGUUAUUCCGUGUAUAUCCUCAAGACUAAGA